rnacentral:rRNA from 1 species
UGAGGAAUAUUGGUCAAUGGGCGGGAGCCUGAACCAGCCAAGCCGCGUGAGGGAGGAAGGCCCUAUGGGUCGUAAACCUCUUUUGUCAGGGAACAAAAGCGAGUAUGUAUACUAGUCUGAGUGUACCUGAAGAAAAAGCAUCGGCUAACUCCGUGCCAGCAGCCGCGGUAAUACGGAGGAUGCGAGCGUUAUCCGGAUUUAUUGGGUUUAAACGGGUGCGUAGGCGGCGGUGCAAGUCAGCGGUAAAAGUCCGGGGCUCAACCCCGGCGAGCCGUUGAAACUGCAGUGCUAGAGAAGGCGAGAGGUACGCGGAAUGCGCAGUGUAGCGGUGAAAUGCUUAGAUAUUGCGCAGAACUCCGAUUGCGAAGGCAGCGUACUGGCGCCUGACUGACGCUGAGGCACGAAAGCGUGGGGAUCGAACAGGAUUAGAUACC